rnacentral:rRNA from 1 species
GACGAACGCUGGCGGCGUGCUUAACACAUGCAAGUCGAGCGGUAAGGCCCUUUCGGGGGUACACGAGCGGCGAACGGGUGAGUAACACGUGGGUGACCUGCCCUCAGCUCUGGGAUAAGCCUGGGAAACCGGGUCUAAUACUGGAUAUGACUCCAUGACGCAUGUUGUGGGGUGGAAAGCCUUGUGCGGCUGAGGAUGGGCCCGCGGCCUAUCAGCUUGUUGGUGGGGUGANGGCCUACCAAGGCGACGACGGGUAGCCGGCCUGAGAGGGCGACCGGCCACACUGGGACUGAGACACGGCCCAGACUCCUACGGGAGGCAGCAGUGGGGAAUCUUGCGCAAUGGGCGAAAGCCUGACGCAGCGACGCCGCGUGAGGGAUGACGGCCUCGGUGUAACU